UACGUAGGGGGCGAGCGUUGUCCGGAGUUACUGGGCGUAAAGGGCAUGCAGGCGGUCCGACACGUUUUGUGUGACAGCGGGUGGCUUAACUACCCGAGGAUGCGAAAGACGGUAGGACUUGAGGACUCGAGAGGGACACGGAAUUCCGGGUGGAGUGGUGAAAUGCGUAGAGAUCCGGAGGAACACCGAAGGCGAAGGCAGUGUCCUGGCGAGUGACUGACGCUGAGGUGCGAAAGCCAGGGGAGCGAACGGG
rnacentral:rRNA from 1 species